ensembl:lncRNA
GGAAGGAUGAGGAAUACAAGGUCUGAAUUCAAAGUCAGGGCCCUCGUUACAGCUGGGACAGAGUUAAUUUUCUUCAUAGCAUCUGGUAUGGUGCUAUGACAACACACCAAUGUUUUAUUUGUUUCUGAGCAGUGGUUGCACAGAGUCAAAAGGCAUUUCAGCUUCCCCUAUUGCCCUGCCAGUGAGGGGACUAAGGGUGGCACAAGAAGCUGAAAGAGGAUGGAACCAGGACAGCUGAUCUAAACUUUCCAAAGGGAUAUUCUAUACCAUGUGACAUAAUGUGAAAGAUAUAAAACUGAGGGCAGUCGGCCAGAGGGACAGUCGCUGCUCAGCAACUGGAUGGGCAUCAGUCAGUGGGUGGUAAGCAAUUGUGUUGUGUGUCUCUUGCUUUGUAAAUAUGCAUAUAUAUAUACUUAUCAUUGUUAUUAUUUCUCUCUUCCUUUUUUGUCUUAGUAAGUAGCUUUUAUCUCAGCCUUCAAGUUCCAAUUUUGUUUCCCCAAUUCUCUCCCCAUUUCAUUGGAAGAGUGUAACUUGAGAGAAUGACUGUGUGGAGCUGAGCUGCCUGCUGUGUUAAACCACAACAGCCAGGUAGUGAUAUUAUUUCCCUCAAAAAUAUCUGAGUUAUAAAAAAGCAAUUAUUUCCUAUAACCCUUAUACAUUAUUUCCCUUCCUCUUUUAAACUUGCAGUUGCUUUCUCCACACUGUAUUAUCGUGGGACAAAAUUUAUUAUAAUUUCCCUCAGCCACAGGGAAGGUUUACUUAAAAUGCAAUUCUACCUUGAAAAUGAUUAUUUUAAUAUACUAUCAGAGAUUCUCUGUUCACUAUGCUCCAAUGAUUUCAAUAUUAAACAUGCUAGUAAUGAAUACAAAAUAAAAUAAAAUAAAAUAAAAUAAAAUAAAAUAAAAUAACCGUCAGCCAUACAAACUCAGCCUAAAAGCCAAACUGUCUUCUCCCUUUAAAGGAAUAACUGUUUCUGCAGGCUAAGUUAUACCUCAAUUACAACUGUGCAGCUUCAUGUUCUUCUGAUUGUUUCCCAUGACAGCUGCAGUACCCUAUUGACAUCAGUGUUUUUAUGCAUGUGUAAUGUUGGCUAACUGGAACCCACUUAGCCUUGUUGUAGCUGAUUUUCUAGAUGAGACUGCAUCAUAUUCCUCUUCCUUAAUGUUUUGCUAAAGUUAAUGUAGAGGAAAAUAAUUUCAGGUAUCCUACAUUUUUUGUGACUAUACUCAAGACUGUACCAUAUUAAGAAGGAUAUAUUUAUUUGUUCAGAAGAAAAAUAUGUCUAAUACUUAAUGACAGUGUAUCCUGAAAGUCAAUGGAGUGUACCUUAUAUUUCCAUACCUCAGAAAAACCUACUGAAGAACUUGGGUUUAUAAUUGGUACAAGACAACACAUUCAAUGUGGCUUUAUGCAAGUGAAAAAAACUUGAUUAUCUAUAUACUGUGUUUGUACUAAACACCUAAGCUGGUAAAUCUUUCAGUAGGAAUUCUUAACCUGUGAUAAUGCCCGUAUUCUUGUGCUACCGCUGUUCUAGAGAGGAAGCUUUAGAAAUCUGUGAGCAAAAUCACGUAUUUUAAAAGACAGCCCAGGAUACAACUGGCUUUCUUACCUGCAGGUGCACAUUGCUGGCUCAACUUCAGUUUUCCAUGUCCUUCUCUGCAGAGUUGCUCUCUAUCUACUCAUUGCCCAGCUUGUAUUCAUGCUUGGGUUUGCCCCAGUCCACAUGCAGGACCCUGCCUUUUGCCUUUUUGAGUUUCAUGAGGUUCACAUGUGCCCAGUUCUCAAGGCUGUCAAGGUCCCCUUGGAUGCCAUCCUUUCCCUCCACAUCACUCAGCUUGGUGUCAUAGCCACAAACUAACUGAGGCACUCAAUCCCACUGUCCACAUCACUGACAAAGACGUUAGAUUAUACUGGUAGUUCAAAACUGUUCGUAGUGUAAUUUGGAAUUAUCCAAAAGUAAUAAAAUAAUGAAUGUCAGAAGACAUAAGUUGAGUGUUCUAGGCAAUUAUGCUUAGCUUACUUGAAUGCUUCCAUCCAGAAAAAUCCAUCAGUAAUCUGAAAUUUCAUACCAUAGCUGUAUCAGCAUGAACAAACAUGGGGACAUACACAGCAGCUCUUUUAGAAGUGUCACUGUAUAAUAUGCAGGAAAGCUCUGAGGAUGAACAAAUUUUAUUUUGCAAAAUAAUAUUGUUUCAAAAUUUCAUCAUAAAGGCUUUUUUAAGAAAAAAAGUAGAAGUUGUAAACAUUACAUUUUUAAGGUCCUUUUUUUUUUGCUUUUUUGAAACUGAUAAGCUGGAAUAAUUCUUAUUUUCAGUAGACAAGUAAUUUGUUUUUAUUUCUGUACUAUUUGUGAUGAUUUCUGUUACAGUAUGGGUAAAUAAAUGUGUGGAACUAGAAUAAGAUAAACUUCAAAUAUACUUAGAAUAUAAAUCACUUUUUUUUUUUUUUUCCAUGGUAAGACAUUUGACAUCUGCUACAAUUUAGGAUCAGGCAGAUAACCAGACUGAAUUAAUUAAAAAUGAUUAUAGCUAUCCUGAAGAGCUAAUGAAAGUUAUAACCUGAAAAAAAUUAGUGUAAAUAUGGCCUUUAAUUAGUGUAGGAAAAAAUACGCUUAUCUGUAUUAAGAAUAAACAUUUUCAAAUUGAGAUCUAAAAGUUUGCAAAUAGAUUAGUGGUAGUUUAGAGCAUGCAGAAUAUAAGUUCAGUUUCAAAAUAAAAAGCAAACAAACGACCAACUAGUUUGAGUGUUGCCCAAAAACACUUCAGUAACAAUAACUAUGAUAUUAAGUUGAAGCUUGCUGUCUUAAGCAAUCAAUUCUGUUUUUCAGAUCUCAUUUGAAUACUCUCAUUAUCUUCAUGUGCUAUUCUUUCUGCCAACUACUCUAACAAAACUGCUUAGUUUGUGCUUCUGUAGGUCUUGAACUCAUUGCUUUAAAUAUGCUAUCAACACUAAAGCCCUUUGAAAAUCGAAUUUCCUAUCAGAUAAUUUGUUUUACCUUGUGCCAUAAAAUCAGGUAUCUCAUACAAUGAAGCCUGAAAUGUAGCUGAGGGCAGCUUGAAAUGUAAUGCACUAUAAUCAGGAUGAAGAAACUUCAUCUAGAAAAACACUUUGUUAAACUUGCUUUACCCAAAAACCAAACAAGUAUAAAUCAAGAGAUUCAAAUAUAUGUAUUUUACCCAUCUAAGAGAUAAAUUAUCACCCUCAUACAACUUCAGAAGUAUUACAUCUUGUUCUGGUCUGAGCAUCCAGUCCAUAAGUUGCAAGUAGUCUAUCCCACACAAAAAUUUGAAAAAAAAAAUGUUAAUGGGAUGGAGGGAAUUUACUUUAAUGAAACAUUUUCAAGUGUUUGAGCUUGUAAAUUUUCUGCCUGACUUUAUCUAGACUAUCUACUCUUCACUUACACUGCUAUUCUCCAACUUAAAAUGCUUCCUUGUCUUUUUGGCCUACACAUGCUGUUACAGAGGAAGAAGCAUAAUUGCUUUGUUGCUGCAUACUCUUUAUGAAUGAAAUUCACAUUUCAUAUUCAGAAUACUCAUUAAAUUAGAUUAAAUUAUUAAAUAUGUUCACAAAAUUCAUUUUAAAUUAUUACAGAACGAUAGAAGCAAAUACAGGCAUAAACUUUCUGUCUCUGAUAAAUACUAAGUGGUCUUUCCAAUUUAUUACUUGCUGGUCUGAAACAUUUUUUGCCAUUAAACCAAUAAAGUAUUGCACUCUAAAUCUUUCCUCACUCAAUCUCCAAAAGAAAAUUAUUCAAGUAAUCUUAUCUGGGAGAAAUGAUUAAGGAAAAAAAAGAAAAGUAUGUACUGGGAAAGUGAUGGACUUAACUCAUGUGCCUUGGAAGGUUUUACCUAAACUUUAUUAAAAUAAAGAGUGUCUCAAAGCAUAAAUGGUCAUCUCAAGGAACAAAAAAUGCCUAGAAAAAAAUUCCUAGAUACUGUAAAUGUGGCCUCACUGUCAAUUUUCAAAAUUGUCUUUGAAUCAUUCAGUGUGCUCCCCAUUAGAAAAGUUACACUUUCAGAGGAAAUUCAAAAAUUUGAUAGACCUUAAAAAUUUAUCCUGGAAGAACUUGGAGAAUAAUUUUCUUGUUGAUGUAAUACUAAAAUUUAACAUGCUGUCUUCACAAUUCUGUCUUAUGUUAAUCAGUACCAUACAGUAAUUCCAUAUGUAAACAUUUGCUUUUUUGUGCAUCAUGAAUAGAAUAAAAUGUAAGUAAUUGACUGGCCUUUCUCCAUUAUUUUUCAUUACUUUGUGUAUCUCCUCAAGUGGAUUUGUAUAUGAAAUAUGAAGGCAAUACAUACAUACAGCUCUGGAAUCUGGGAAAUGAAUCCAAAGGAAGUCAAAAUUAAUGUUCAGAAGUACUUAGUCAGCCUUGACCUCCUCCCUUGAAACCAGUGACAGUUUUAAGACUGAUCCCUUGGGGUAAUGCUGAGCAUUAUUAAAAUCUGAAGAGCAUAACUGUCCUAUGGGAAUGCAUUUGACUGUUUGCUGUUGCAUGUCUGCCUGAUUUUCUCCUGUAUUUUUUAUGUCAGGAAGUUCCUACUGGCAUAAUUAAUACUGCUCCAAAGAUAUUAUCCACUAUGUUUCUCACAAUUAAAAAAAAAAAAAAAAAAAAAAAAAAAGGCAAUAAAAAUCCAGGAUGAAGAACAGAAAUACAGAUUCAAACAAUUUCAAGGAUAUCCACUUGAUAAUUCAUCCACCUCAGCUGGGACAAGGUACCAAGGUACAAUCCUCUGACAAACUGUGGUUGUCAUUGCUUUCACUAGCAUCUUGAGCCAGUGCAGUAAUGCGAUUUUAAGGUUAAUCAUCCACUUUUAUUGUGUGCUGAUACACCACAGAGCAGUUCUGAUACUCAUGAACUGGAUUCCUACCAGGUAAAAAUCAACCAGAAGUUCCCACACAGAAACUCACCAACUGUGCUCGAACCUCUGAUGGCUACAUAAAGGUCCAGGACAAAAAAUAUUCAUUUGAACAGAUUCUAACAGCAAUCUAACUUAAACUUUUCCCCCCCAUGUUAUGUAGAGAUAGGGUCUAUCCAAGCACUGCUGCUUUGAUCAGCUGAUUCUCUUACGUUAGCUCCACAUAAUAUGUCUAUACAGACAGAUAUGCACAUAAAACAUUGUAGACUUUGGGAACUCCGUUUUAAAAUGUUUGAUGUACCUCCCUUUUAUUUCUUUUCCCCAUAUUGGUUUUCUGGAUCAUCCUGUCUAUAGUCAAUCUGAAGAUGGAAUUAAGUACUUGGGAUGUCAAAAUAUUUAUCUAGUUUGCUUGAUCAGUCGUUCAAAUUUCUCUACUUAAAAUUUUGUUAGUUCAGUUUCUCUUUUUUUUUUUUUUAAAAAAAAAGUCAUCUUGGUUUUAAUGAUUUCCAUCCAUAUAAAGGGUUUGAAAGAUCAGUGUUGUGGUUGUAACAAACAUAGAAGUUUGAGUAAAAAUAGGUGAAAAAGGAAAUUUAACAUAUUUUGCAGAAAAAAAACAAAAGCAAAAAUCUAGACUAAGUAUGGUCUUCCUUGUUAGACCUGAACUGAUUAUAUUUAAUGAAUUCCUUGGGAGUUCAAUAUUGUCCAGUGGCUAGAUAGACUUGUAAAGUUUCUAUUUUAGAUGUAUACCUCCUAAGCUGUUAUUUCAGGCAUAACCAGGAAAAGGUGUUGUGAAGUGUUCUGUGGAACAUCAACAGGAAAAAAAAAAAAAGGAGCAGUAAUGCGUUUUAACAGCAGAAGUGGAAAAGUGAAACUAGAAAGAUUGUUACUUACAAGUUUAGAUAAACCAAGACAACUGAAACUGAGUAACUGGCUAUAUGAAACAAGCCGUAUUAAUAAAAUUACACAAAGCAAAUUCAGUAGACAUGAAGAUCCUUGGUAAGCUGCUGUCUUACUUCUGCUUGUAUCAGCAGGAUACAGCAGAUUUUUAAAAGCUUUAGUUACCACAGUUUAUAAUAGUUUUUCAAUCCUGUAAUGUGCAAGAAACAUUUGGCAGCAAGUUACAUAUUGUAUUGCAUAGGUACACAUUUCUUAAUAAUCUAUAUUUAUUUGUUUGAUAAAGUUAGCACGAGAUAUAAAAUGACAUGUUUCAUAACAACCUAUUUCUUUGGUUUUGCUAAAAGUCCAGUCUAGUACCAUUAACCUAGAAUGAAUAUUUGUAUUGCAUUUAUUGAUUUUUCUUAAUGCUUAAUUCAAUAUUCUCAAGAUAUUAUAAAAUCAUAGGAUAUUAUUUUAUUUUAUUUUAUUUUAUUUUAGUCUGAAAUGAAUUUCAAAGUAAUCAAGUAGUAAGUUUUGCAGUUUGAGUUCUUAAAGUAUCACACUUCCCUGUCUGUGCCUAUGUGUAAAAAAACUAACGUCUCUUUUGUCAUUUCUUGUCUAUGGUCAUAAAAGAGAGAACUAUAUUUAUUCAUUCAUAGAGAUUAAAUGAAUUGUGCAUAUCAAUGAAGAUUAAGAGAUUUCAUGUAAUAUAACUUUACCAACUGUGUUUUUCAAAAAACAACUCAUAUAUUACCAGUUUAUCCAGUUUAUUUUCUGGGAGGAAAAAAGAAAACAAACACACAAAAAAAGCUAAUUUAUCAAUGAACCAUGCACAGUGUACAGAGCCUCUUAAGGAAAUUAUACAGAAACUCUCUGAAAUAGAAAUAUUUACAGUGCAGAUAAGUAUGGAAUCCUUUGCAUAUAAAAUAAAAUACUAUAUAUCAUUCCUUCCAACUAUUCUGUGGACUGCUUGUAUAAAAUUCUCUCUUGAGUUGAAUAGUGAAUUUGAUUUUCAGAAAUAAAUACCUUCAAUCAUGUCAUGCAUAGUAAAUUAUCUAUUUUUAUUUUUUUUUACUUUCCAAAAACAAACGUAGGCAGAACUAUGUAUGAAAAUUUUUAUAGAAUAAAUUUUAUUUUGAUAAUAGCAGCAUUUUAUUAAUUAAACUGUUUCAUCAUUAUAAAUUGCAUUUCUGGUUAUUGAUGCAAACAGCCAAACUCUUCAACAAUGCCUAUUACAUUAGAUUUAUAUGACUUUCUGAAGAUCACUAAAUGUUGUUGAGAGACACAGCACAUUUUUCCAGCGCAUAGAUACUUCUGUGAUUAAUUCUUCAAGUUAUAACCCAAUGAAACUAGUAGCUCAAAUAUUCGUAUCAGAUUAUUUCUGAGGGCAGCUGACUCAUGCAAGUCAACCAUCUCAACAGCAACCUGAAUAAUGUGGCCUCUCUAAAGUUAACUCUGGGACAAGGAGAUGAAUAUCAUAUUUGCUGGUCUCUGGGCUGGCUGAGUACAACCUCAGCUGCCCUUGGGGGAGCUCAGCCAGCAACACCUCUGUAUACUCCAGAUUUGGAGAAAGAGAGUUGAGUGCUGUAAAUAUAAUUUCCCCAAACAAGUCCUUUUUAGCAGUGAUAGUUUAACCUUCAUCCUACAAUUUGAGAUUUAAACUGCAUGUCAUAUUUACAUAUCUGCUGUCUCACUUAAGUCUGAGACUAUUAUCCUGUCUGCUACCAAGUUACUGUUUUAGAUAUUCACAUUACAACACAAUCUACCUUAACAUUUUCCCAUUAUGUUAAACUAUUGUUUAAUUUGCCGGCUUUUAUGGAUGUCCUGUACUCUCUUCUCAGUCAAUGGACCUGUGAGCCAAAUUCAGAAGUUAUAUGUAAGGCGCUGUAACAUAGAUCCCAUAAUAUUCACUUGAAUUUUCUCAAUAUUUCAUACUCUGUUCUCUACAAAGUGAAAGGCAAGGUAACACAAUAUAACUCUCACACAAAGUAGCUGAAAGGAGCUGGGUAAACUAAAGCAUCCUCUUCCAUAAAUUAUGUUUACUCCCAUCUGUUUAUGCUGUGAGUUAACUUUCAGUUUAGAGAGUCUGAGAGACAGAAAGAACUAGCAGACACAAGUCUAAAUCAAUUCUCUGUUAGUUGUGUGUGCACUGGUGAUUUUAUAAAUAAACUAUUCAAAAGUAUAGCCUCUGCGUGGGCUAAUUGAGCUCAGAGUCAUUUUAGGUAUGUUAAUUACAGGUCUGCCUGAGUCCAUGUAUUUACAAAGACAUUGUGCUCCUGAGUCAGCAGAACCAAGCAAUCUAAGAACCACUUUUUGUGGGAAAUGCAAAUGAGACACUCACUGCCUCCUGCUGACUUACACUGAGAAGCUAUUGAACUGUCUGGAUUGUUUCCAUUUUCAAUAUCCCGUCUUCUGAGUAAGAUAACAGAGUCCACUAUAAAACAUAUAGUCUGCAUUAUUCAUCACUUAUAUUUUGUGUGUGACUUACAUACACAGUAGUUUGUGACAAUCAAAAAGAGUAAGGACAAAAUUUGAAUCAAGGUACCAUAAAGUUCUGGAUAAAUGUAAAAAUAAAUAAAAGGAAUUAAAUGGAGAAGAUUGUGAACAUGAAGUGAACAAACCAAAUGAGGAGGUUAGUUAUUCUGAACUAUAAUGCAGUUGCUCAUGCUGAGAAAAUAAAAAGUUUAAAACUCAGAGAAAGCUGCUCCUCUUGUUUUCAAAAUUAUUGGAGGGGUGACAGGAAAAACAAACUUUUUUAAAAAGAAAGGGUAAGUUUCUGCAAGAUCUCACUGCUCUAGUGGCUAAAUCCUGUUUCCCUGUUUUCCCCAGGUAUUCAUUGCCUUUCAUGAUUCUUCAGACUGACAACCUCUGUUACAGUGUAGGGCAUCUCAUGGGAGUUGAAGUUUAUACAAUAACAGGUUUUCCAUGUGCAUGUUCAUCCAAAGUGGGUGUUUUUGCAAUAGCUUCUUGCAAUCAUCUUGUUCACAAGCAGAUAGCAAUUUGUGUCUUUAUAAAGUCCUUUGUGAAAUUUAUAACAAUAAAAAUUUGUUUCAGUGUUGCUGAUAUGACUGUAUUAUUAGGAACUGAUAAGUUUUGUAUAUCAAAGAACAAAAUAGCAGUCUAGACCAUACAGAAGAGCUCCAUACCUGAGAUUUUUACCAUAUACAUAGUUACAGAAAGUCACAACAGCAAUAACUUGUACCUUGUUUUGAAUAUAAAGUUAUUUGAAAGCAAGAGAAAAAUUAAUUGGUGCCCAAAUUGAUCUCCAUCUUCUGUGCUACUUGAUUUUCAUUCUAGUGGUGUUCAAAAGCCAGACUGAUGCAGAGAGCUCUUGCAAUACCUGCCUUGUGCAGACAUUGUAUAGAUAUUACCUUGGAAUUAUUGUCAGAUAAAUAUUUGUAUAUGAAUUUAUCAUGCAUACUCACUACUGGAAAAAAAAUUUUUUUCAUAUUUUAAAUCUGGAUCAAAUAUUAAAGAGAUGAGUAUUUGUAUCCCAUUAAACUUUCGUACAAGCAUCAGCAUUAAGCAUUGACUGAUUUUUAGUUAAUUCUAUCUACUUUACAGAUAAAAGGUAUAUAGAAGUAAUUUUUCGUUUGUUUGUUUUUAAAGGAAAAAGAGGGUUGUGCAAGUAAUUUAUGCUGUAGUGCUUUAAUAGAAGACUAUGCCUUUUGCUGCCUUAAAUAAUUCCUUAUUUUCUGAGAGUAGUGACAUACAAAGUACAGACCUGGAAGUAAUAUCAGACUAACACAAACUGACAUUUUGUAUAUACAGCAGAGUUAAAAUUUGCAGUCAAGAUGAUGAGAAAUUUAAUCUAAUUCACCAUCUUGAUCAUGUUGGUGUGGAAAGUCUACGAACCACACAGACACAUGCUUGAUUUUGAUAGGUAUGUCAGUAUCAUUUAUUCCAUAACAAAAAUUAAAGCUAUCUAGUAUUUUAUAGGAUAUCUAUAGGUAUUUGAGCUCUUCAUUUCUAAAAUUCCCCUUUCUCCUACAUGGCAUUCACUUAGUGUACCUCAGAGAGUAGAAAGUGAAGUCCCAUUAUAUGCUCCAGUUCCUAUUCAGUCAAUUAGUAUAUGCUCAGGAGUUAUUCUUCUGUAGCAGACCUGCCUGUAAUUGAAUUUAUGUCAAAUAAGAUGUUGUACUUAUACAUCCACUGGGAGCAGAAAUGAAGGCAUCAGCCAUAAGGUACAGAAAGAUUUCUCUACCCUAUAAUUGCAGCAAAACAGAUGCUAAUUUGUUUUUAGAGUACCUUGCAGAUGCUUGAACAAAACAGAAGCUGGCUUACCUGACUUCUUAGAAAUACUCAGUGAUUGCCCCAUCUGAAAAGAUAUGAGGUCAUCUCAUCUCAUGAAGAUGAUAGCUGACAAUGUUUUUUUGCAAUCUAUACCAUUAUCAUUGCUGUAAGAAUCACCUCUGUACUGUUCCAUCAAUUACAAAUGCCAGGGAAAUUUACAGUGGGUUCAGGAGAUUGUUAAUGAAUUCAAACACACUCAAACUUGAAAUCUUAAUUGGCAUAACCCAACUAGUUGUUCACCACAGAACAGAUUUUUUUUACCAAGCUGCAGUUUCCACUUCCAAACUGAGGAAUACACAGCAGGAAAAAAGAAAAAAGAAAAAAAAAAAAAAAAAGCUUUUUCAUGGCAUUACAUUAUUUCUUUUCCUGGAUGUAAAUUUCAACAUAUUAAAUUUCAAAAAUAUAUAUGUAAUUAAUAAAUUAUAUGAGGGAAGACAGCAUCUUUAAUCUCUAGCCCACACAGAGAAUGAGGUUAACUAGAUAAGGUGGCACUGAUACAUCUACUUGGGCUUUGUAACAACCCAUGGUUACCUUGUAUUAAGAUAAUCUCUACUUGCUUUUUUGUUUGCUUAUUUGAUGCCUCUUUACUGAAUUCUUUCAGUGCAAAAGAACCAUGACUAAGUUUAGAUGCAGGCCCUUGGUCAUAAGAUAAAGUACAGCAAAAAGAGAAUAAAACUGAAAAAGUAUAAACUCAAAUAAAUUAAAUUAAGUUGCAAGCAAACUUCAAUAUCAUUGUAUCAGGGCAUUCAAUUACUACUCAAAUGGGAAAGUGAUUAACAGAUCUAUGCACUGAAUCAGUUUUCUUCCAUAAAAACAAAACAAUGGAAAAUCCCAAUGUGUAUUCAGAACCAUCCUGAAGAGUUAAAACUCAUAUUCAGAAGGAUUUAUUCAAUUAGAAGAAAAAUCUUGCAAAAAUAAAUAGAGUGUUUUAACUCACCCUGUGAGAAACUCCUAAUAAGGACAAGUGUUUGAGUGAGAAAAUUUCUUAAGCUUCAAAAAUAAACCCUAUGGCUAAAGGAAAUUCUUCAAAAUGCAUAUUGAAAGUGUUUCUUUUUCUGUUUUAACAGAUGUAAAUCACAUUUCAUUUAAACUGGUGAAGGAACGUUGCAAAUUUGGGCUACAGUGUCUAAAACACGGCUUACCAGCUCAAAAUUGAUAAUCUUUUCCUCUCUCUCUCUCUCUGUCUUUUUUUUUUUUUUUUUUUUCUUUUUUUUUUUCUUUUUUAACUCAAGAGAGGCUGCAUUUACUAUAAGGCACAGCAGUUAGUACCAGAAGGAAAUAUCCUAUCAUCAGUGUCUGAUUGUCUCAUCAUUAGAUUCUGCUCCAGGCUGUAUUUAUUCACUUCACUUGUUUCUUUCUCUUUCCAGUGUCUACAGCUGCUGUCAAAUCUCAGACAGAAAAAAAGAAUCACAAUCUACUGUAACUGAAAACAUACUUAUUUUUGCAUAGGGAGGAGUGCUACUGCCUUUUUCAAAGCAUAAGACUUAAAAAAAAAAAAAAUCUUAUUUUAUUUUAUUGACUGACAUGUAAAGAAAACAUCCAAAUCCUUAAUUUUUCUUCCUGCACGAGUGCCACAAAGUCUGGAGGGGGGUGUUAGAUCAAGUGCAUAGUGUAAUACCUUGCAUUUCCAACUCCUUUAUUAGCUCUGUAUAUUUAUAUAUACAUAUUAUAUAUGCAUAUAUAGAGAGAAAUAUAUACUUCAUGCUUGUUUCUAAAGAAACAUUCUCAUGAUUAGGUGUCAUCUGCCUUUAACGUUACUCAAAGGUAGUCAUUUGGCAUCUGGCUGACCUGAGCCCAGCCUUGGAAAGUAUAAGCUGCAUUACCUUAUCCAUCAAUAUGACCCAAACUAAUUACUCUAUCACUUAUCAUGAAAAUUAUCUUAAAACAAUCGCCUUUCAUUUUUUAGAAUAUUUUAAUUUGAUUAACUAAUACUAUUCCAAAAUAAAAAAUAAAGGUUCUGGUUUAUUGUAAAUGCUGCAAGUGCUCUUCCUCUGGCUAUAGCACUUUUUUAAUGCCUUUGCUAAUGGAUACAAUACAGUGUGUUUUAGAUGUGAGAUUUAUACUUAAUUGGCAUGUUUUAUUUUCCACAUGUUCUGCAAAAGCUGUCAAAAGCUGAGACUAUGCUUUUGCUAAGGAAUUAAUCAUCAUUAAACACUAAACCAAAAGUAUGUAAAGUAACUUGUCAGAAAUUAACAAGCUCUGUAGAUUCAGCAGGCUCAUCUCAGAAUAAGUGUGUAGGACAUCUUCAAUGGCCACAUUGUUAUAAAUGUAGUCAAAUUCCAAUGCACAGUCUAUGAUUGAUUCUUUUUAGAAAUGUAUUCGAUUGACUAAAGUCUCUUGCCCAUGAGAUUGCCAGAAAUUAGACAGCUGACAAAUGAGUUAAGAAUUAACUUUUUUUAUAAUAUGCUCAAAUUAAUAUAUAGUUGUCAUGUUCAUAAAAUCCAUUAACUUUAGUACAUAGUGUAGUUCAUCAUGGAGCAUUUGCAGAUUUGCUCAUUGUGUGGUCCUUGUCCAACACGCAUUCUGAUGGUGAUCAGAUAUUUCAGAGCAAUUGUAACAUUGUCUGCCAAAAUAAGUAAAUAAGUAAAUAAAUAAAUAAAUAAAUAAAUAAAUAAAUAAAUAAAGUAAAAAAGCUUCAAGAAAAUUGCAUUACUUGUCUACAGAAUACUAUUACAUUUCUCAGGCUGCCAGUCAUUCUUUCCUAGUCAAACACACACAAAUCUCAUAUUUAGCUGAACUGAAUGCUCCAUUUACAGUAAACAUUGAAUAGAUCACAUUAUUUCCAGGCCAUGAAGAAAGUAUGUACUUAGCCAUUUUUUUUAAUGGAAAAACCUUGGAUAGUGAUUUCCUUAAAAAAUUAGGACUAUGUGUUUAGAAGACAGAGAAUUAACAGAUAUAGAACAAAAUAUCUGUAACUCUGAUGAGUAGAAAAUCAGAGAAGUAGUCCUAAAACCACAUAAGCAGACAAUGAAUUGCAAUCUCCUAGGGGAAGCAGGGGCAGCCAAGAGAAAGAGCUACCAUAUAAGGGUGAGAGUUGACACUGAACAUCGAAGAGAGUUCUACAGUAUGUAGAAGCAAGACAUGAAUAGUAGCUGACAGAGCCUGGAGUUUUGAAAGUGCUGUUUAUCCAGCGGGCAGCUCAGCGCUACAGAACUGUUUCCUGCUGGAGAGAGAAUCAGAAUAAAAAAAACAACAAAGUAGAACACUUGGGUUCAGAUAAAAACUAUUUACUAAGGCAGAAAAUGAAGAGAAAUUGAAAAUAAUGAUAGUAAUGAUAGUAAUAUAUAUAUGUAUAACACAAAUGAUGCACAGCACAAUUACUCACCACCUACCAAUCAAUGCCCAGACAGCCAACUCCUCAUUGUUUUACAAACUUUUUUUUUUUUUUUUUUUUUUUUUUGUAUGAUGCUAUCUGUUAUGUAAUAUCUCUUUGGCAAGUUCAGAUCUGUCCUGGUUCUGUCUCCUGCCAGCUUUCUGUGCCCCAUCAGCUCCCCUUGCUGGCAGAACAGUACAAGAUACUGAAACAUCCUUGGCUCUAUGUAGCCACUCCUCAGCAACAACUGAAGUAUUGGUCUGCUAUAGAUGUUGUUUCUCUCCCAAAGCCAAAACAUCACAUCAUACCAGGCACAAUAAAUAGAAGAAAAAAGAAAAAGAAAAAAAAAAAAUCAACUCUGUCCCAGCUGAAACCAGGACAGAAGGGCAUGGACCUGAUUACUACACAGUGAGAAAAAAUAAAAGCAGAUUUUAUCUAGACCACUAUGUGCCUGGAUAUGUUUAUCUAUGUAUUAGAUAUAAUAAAAUGUAAGCAGAACCCUAUGAAACACCAGCUUAUGCAUAAUGUUUAUUAUUUCAAAUUUGCUUCUGAAAAGUUAACUCGUGUGAGGCAAAACUUAGAGUCAAGGGGUUUGCAAACUACAGGGGUUGUUGCCAGUCUGGAUGCCAGCAACUGAGUCAUGGGUUGUCAGAUCUCAGGCAAGUUGCCUCUAAGGAUUUGGCUCCUGUCCUUGGCAAAGGGCUGUGGACACAGUGAAAUUUGAUUCAAGAACAGUCACAAAAACCUCAAAAGUGUCUAACCAGAACCAACUUGGCUAUGGUUCUAACAGAGUAUUAAUAUCCUCAAGUGACUGAACAAGUAGCGCUGAGGGAGAAAAAAUAAAGGCAGUCUCAUAAGCCAAAGUAAAAACUUGGGGUAGUCUCAGAGAUUAAUACAGUGGCUGACCUUUAAUAUGUCAUUAAAUCAAUCUUCAAGAAAUCAAUUCUCAUUGAAAUCACAUUAAUCUAGCCUUCUAUUCAUCCUACUCUGAGCAACAAUCUUAUUUGCUGCUGUUCUCGGUGUUCUCUGGUGUAACACUUCUUUUGCUUAUUCUGUACAUCUCUUGAUAUAAAUGAGUUUCCCUGUGUAUGUGCACUUUCAAACUCAAGGCUAAUAAGGCAACUGCUUAUUUAAUAGAGACAAUUGCAGUAACUCUUCUCCCUAGAUGUUCUGUGAUGUAUUUCAUGAGGCAUUUAGGGGAGCAGGUAAGUUCAAAUGUCCUCAAUCACAUAUAUGACAUGUAGUUCCCAGUUUUCGUUCAUCAAGACUCCAGAGAAAGAGUGAAGUAUUGUUUGUUUUUUUUUUUCCCUCCAGAUCCAGAGGGCUUAGUAUCUUGUGAUGAUUUCAUGAAAUUGUACUAAAAGAAAGAGAAAAAAGCACAGGUCAAAAUUUUAUUGGCAUAAUAGAUUGUCACUUGGGACUGAUGUCUAGUAGACACGAGGUGUAAAAUUUUACACUGUUAAACACCUCUGUGCCAGGAAAGACCAUGGAGCAGAUCCUCCUGGAAGCUAUGCCAUGGUACAUGGAAAAAGGAGGUAAUAUGGGAGAACCUGCAUAGAUUCACCAGGGGCAAAUACUGUUGCAUCUACCUAGUGGCCUUUUAUGGUGAUGUCACUGCAUCAAUGGUCCAGGGAAGAGCCACUGAUAUCAUCUAUCUGGACUUCAGUAAUGCUUUGAAAUGGUACCCCACAAUAUCUUUCUCUCCAAAUUGGAAAGAUAUGGAUUUAAUGGGUGGACAGCCCAAUGGAGGAAGAACUGGAUGUAGGAUUGAGUCCAGAGAGUGGUGAUCACUGGCUCAAUAUCUGGAUGGAGAUCAGUGAUGAGUGAUAUCCCACAAGGGUCAGUACUGGGACUGACACUCUUUAAUAUCAUCAUCAUGUGGUUCGAGUGCACCCUCAGCAAAUGUGCAGAUGACACCAACCUAUGGGGUGCAGUGAAUGCACCAGAGGGAUGAGAUGUCAUCCAGAGGGACCUAGACAGGCUUGAGCAGUGGGCGUAGGUGAACCUCACCAGGUUCAACAAAUCCAAAUUAAAGAUCUUGCACGUGCGUUGAGGCAACCCUCACUACCAAUACAAGCUGGGGGAUGAAAGAACUGAAUGCAGGGCUGCCAAAAAAGACCUGGGGGUAAUGGUGGAUGGCAGGCCGGACAUGAACCAGCAAUGUGCCCUCACAGCCCAGAAAGUCAACAGUAUCCUGGGCUGCAUCAAAAGAAGCGUGGACAGCAGAUCGAGGGAGGUGAUCCUGCCCCUCCACUCUGCACUGGUGAGGUCUCACCUGGAGUUCUGUGUCCAGAUGUGGAGUCCUCAGUACAGGAGGAGUACAACAUAGACCUGUUGGGGCGUGUCCAGAAGAGGGCCGCAAGAAUGAUCCAAGGGAUGGAACACUUCUCCUGUGAGGACAAGUUGAGAGAGCUGGGGCUGUUCAGCCUGCAGAAGAGAAGGCUCUGAGGUGGCCUUCAGCAUCUACAGGAGACUUACAGGAAAGAAGGGGACAGACUCUUUAAUAGGGUUUGUGGUGAUAGAACAAGGGGAAAUGGCUUCAAGCUUGAAGAGGGUAGAUUUAGGUUGGAUAUAAGGAAAACUCUUUUCCAGUGAGGGUGGUGAAGCACUGGCACAGGUUGCCCAGAGAUAUGGUUGAUGUCCAGUCCCUGGCAACUUUCAGGGUCAGACUGGAUCAGGCCCUGGACAACCUGACCUAGCUGUGGAUGUCCCUGUUUACUGCAGGGGUGUUGGACUAGAUGACCUUUAGAGGUCCCUUCCAACUCCAAGGAUUCUUUGAUUCUAUUAUUCCAUAUUCUUUCCAGGUUUUUUGAUAUUAAAGAAAGUUACGUGUUAUAACAGCCUGAGGGCAUAUUCCCCAAAGAAUUUUCCCUAUUCUUUUAUACUGAAAAUGGUUUAUAACAGCAGAUGCCAAGCAGCUUAAGUCACCUUUAAACUCUGCAACAAUCUUGAUUCCCUAAAGCGGAAGAAUCAAUUUCAGUACUCCCCUUCAUAUUGCUUAUACCACAAGACUUGAUGUUGUAACUCUGCUGCCUGUACACUUAUGCCAGAAAUUGAACAAUUGUCUGCUAAUAAUACCUGGUCCAAGAGCUAAUGGGAUGUGUCACUCAGCAGUAUGGGACACAGGAUUGUUCCUGGCAUGCAUAGCAGCUGUUUCUAUGGAGGUUCAGGGUGUCAAGGCAAGACUUCUGAAACAACACAGCAAAAUGAAACACAAACCACUAACUUUUAAAAAUUGUGAAUUCUUGUCCAAAUCAGUAAAUAUAUUUAUAGGCCUCCAAGAACGGUCCAGUUAGUCCAUCUGAGUGAGAUGUGGGAAACCAAAUGUAAUCAUCUGCUGAGUGAAGACUGUAGACUGACAUCUUCGAAUAUCCCUGGCUUGGAGCUGAUAAAUGGAUGCAUUCCUUCAGCUCAUCUUGUUGGCUAUUCUCAGUUCCAGGUACCUGUUUGGAAGAGAAGAAGAACUACGGUCCCCAAGAGCCUUUUCGAGUACUGUUAUCAUUCCUGCUCAAGGGAACAGAUAUAAGGGCGCAGGUCAUCUGACUCGGCCCUCUUCUCAUCUUGCCGUGUUCCCUGCCGGAUCGGCUCGUUACUGCUGCUCCUGACUGCAUGCAAGGCUUCAGUAUUAGCGUGAGGCCUUUGGCUCUCGGACAAUCUUUCUCUCAAUUAUUGUUGAUUUAUAUUGUGUUAUAGUGUGUUAUCUUACAUUCCGAUACUAUAUUUAGUAAAUUAGUUUGUUUCUCCUCAGACCGUUGCCACUGUUUUUAAUUAUUUUGGGGUCCCCUUUUUCCCUUCCUGGAGGCAUGGAUUUUGCGAAGUCCCUCUGCCCCACUAGUCGCGGAACUGGGCUGGACCAACCCUUAAACCGUUGACACAUCAUAGGUCAAAAAAAUAAAAAAAAGAGACACUGCAUUCACAGUAGAUCUCAUAUAUUAAAACUGACAUAUAUUGAAUUUGGUCUAGUAUAUUUUAGGUCUAAACAUUUUAAGAAUAGAAACUGGAGGCAGCCGAUAGAAGACUGUGUUCAAUUGUAAUGAGAAAAUAAAUGUUGUUUUAACCACACCUAAUCUGGCAACCUAACAGCUAAAACACUGCUGCAGACUAGCACUAUAAUUUAAAAUUUUAAAAAGGUUAUUAAUAAUUUGAUAUAUGAAACACAGGUAUUUUACUGAAGAGGAAUGAAGAAAGAAUGAGGGACAGAAGGAAAGAAUAGAGGAAGAAACAGAAGGAGAUGACAUUCAGUGGGGAAUGAUUAUGAUGAGGUCCUUCCUUCUCCUUUCCAUGUUUCCCAGACUGACAACAUGAGGUAGUGGGCAAUUUUUGAAAUGUCACUGGACUCAGAUUUUAUUUUGUUUACUAUGAAGGAUAAUCAUUCAGAGAGCUGUGGUUUAGCACUGCACACUCAAAUCUAAGUAAUGUAUAUUUUUAGGGUUUCUAUGGCUCUUCUGAUCUUUGUUUCUUGAAAAGAUCCAUUUGCCUCAAGACUGUUCCUCUCCUGCCAACAUUAAUUAAAGGAAAAUAGGUAGGAAUUACCCUUGAGUUAAAAGGAAGUCUUUAAUAGCUCCAGGAAAGGUGAAAAUUGUUUUCAGGUAUUUUGAUUCAAUUAUUCUACCUAACAUUCAUUCUGUCUACAUAUAAUGAAAGGAUAAAUAACCAAGGAAUGAGACAGAGGCAAUUUGUGGGAAAAAAAAAAAAAAAAAAAAAGCCAACAGGAAUGAUCAAAGACAGCAAAUAUUGAAAAGGAAAAUAUACCUUUUUAAUUCUUCUAGUUCUCAGUCUUGUUUACCUUUCUUUUUUCAUCGUCAGUCUGCUUUAGUUUAUAUAUCACGUAUUGAUUGAUCUUGAGCUAGUAAGUGGAAUCAGAUCCACCCCCUCUCCUGAAUAUCUGUUAUACCAAAAGUCAUAUGCAAAACAGAAUAACUGUACCAUCUUCAAAAAGACUAUUAAAGGAGAAACCACUGCUUCACACUGAGUCAGUUUAAACAUCUGAUAACCAUUUCAGCUGAUGCACACACCCAGACAUAUCUCCUGAGGAGUGAGACAGCUGCCCAGACCUUUGGCUCUAGGGAACUCUUGAAUCUAGUGGCUACCCAUGGGACUGAGGAAGGUGAGGGGUAUCAUGGGUGCAGAUGUGCCCAACUGAAUGAUCUUCCUGAGCACGUGACCAGGCUGCAAGAGGAGGUCAUAGAAUCAUAGAAUCAUAGAAUGGCUUGGGUUGGAAAGGAUAAUCUUUGCGGCCCUCCUCUGGACCCUCUCCAUGUGCUCCACAUUUUUUCCUUUAUUGGGAGCCCCAGACCUGGAUGCAGUACUUCAGAUGAGGCCUCACAAGGGCAGAGUUGAAAGGGACAAUCAUUUCCCUGCCCCUCAUGGCUACCCCUCCCCUCAUGGAGCCAAGGAUACCACUGGUCUUUUGAGCUGCAAGAGCACACUGCUGGCUCAUGUUAUGCUUUUCAUCCAUGAGGACUCCCAAGUCCUUCUCCACAGGGCCACUCUCAGUGAGUUCUCCCAGUCUGGGCACAUAUCACGUAUCUGAGAUUACUCUGACCUAAGUGCAAAAUCUUGCACUUUGCUAUGGUGAACCUCAUUAGGUUCACAUGUGCCCACCUUUUGAGUUUGUUGACGUCCCUCUGGAUCAUGGCCCUUCCUUCUAACAUGUCAACUGUGCCACUCAGCUUGGUGGCAUUGGCAAACUUGCUGAGGGUGCACUUGAGCCCACCAUCGAUGUCACUGAUGAUGUUGAAGAACAGCAAUCCCAAGUGCAGUGAAUGCAGUGCCCAUGCUGUCCCACCGCACACGUAGAAACAGAGCAGAUUGAGUCAGGUGAGUAUGAUCUGGAUUGCCUACAGCCCAGUUGUGAGGAGCCAGGACCCGGGUCACAUCUGGGAUCCAAGUCUGUGUGGAUGGGCCUACUCUAGAAAGUGAAAAACAGUCUGAAGGGAAUCAGAUAAAGACUUCUCUGGAGAGCAGUCAUUUUUUUUUUUUUGUAUUUUAUUUAUCUGAUGGACAGUCCAGUGGGCCUUUGAUUUAAAUUCCUAUGUGCUUAAACAGUGAUAAAAGACUGAAAAUGCAGAGAAAAUUACUGUCCAGUGUCAUCUCCCUAAAUAAAAUUUGCUGUAAUCUUCAUACACUUUUUUUUCUUUCUGUGUUUUUUGUUUUUUGUUUUUUUUUUUUUUUGCAUAAAUAACAAGUUUGGAAAUUUUAAGAUACUUUUAUUUUCUCAAUGAUUUCAUUCUCUACUGCAGUUUUAUAUCUAUGUUUACCGAUGUUUCCACCAUUUUCAAGAAAAGCCCGGAAUCUUUCUUCAUUUCAUAUGACUCUUGAUUUUUUUUAUUUUGUGUGUGUGUGUGUGUGUGUGUGUGUCACUAUUUACUGAAGCUGCUGUUAUCCACAAUUUUCCUCAGUCUUAAUGCAAGGAUAAGUUUUACCCUUAUAGUUAUAAAUAAUAUUGCAGUGAUACAAAAACUUUACUUUAUCCCAGUCAUGCUUACCAGAGCUCCUGGCAGAAUCCCAAAAAUCAGCCUCAGCUGCAGUAGUACACAGUUCAAUCCUCACUUUAUUCCCAGACUUGAGUUACCCUUUUCUCCUUUUGUUUUAGCAGAUGUAACAUUACGGCAUCAUGCUUGCCCUUACAUUUUAUGGCCAAGAAGGAAAAUGUUCCUCAUGGAAGCCUUGGAUACUGUAAUCAUCAGACUUUCUCUCCCAGCUUUUUGUCCCUGAACUUGGCCUCUUGUUUCUGUCCAAUUGUCCUGAAUUUAUGGGAUCUGGGUAGUUCAAGCAAAUCAGUCCCCAGAUUGCUCUGAAAGCAGCCAAACUCCCAUCUACAUACUUAAGGUUUUGUAAAACAAAAGGGGAAAGGAGGGCAGAGGGAAGCCAACAGGUUAGUGGGGCUUCUCUUUAUGAUUCCUCAGGGGAAGAAAAAUAACACUCUAAUGAUUUAAACAGCCUGAUGUGUGUUGUCAAGGCCCAUAAGUCAGCACCAAAGAGGUAUAUGCAGCAUGCCCUAUAGCAGCUAAAAAAUGCAUUUGCCAUAAAACGAUACUGUGUUAUUCACCUAUUAUUAUCCACAAAUCCAGCCCAGGCCCUUUAGUAGGUGACCAAUUUAAAUAAGGUAAAGCUCUGGAGACUGGCCAUUACUAUACAGUGUACCUUUUAGAACCACUCUACAAUAAUGAUCUACCUGAGAAAAUACCCUUUGUACAUGCUUCUUUUCUCUUUUUCUGGUUUCAGAAUCUUAAUUUUGACAGUAUUAAGGUAUUUUGUAAUAUAGUUAAUUUUUGCUGUAAACAGAGUCAGUGCUUCUAAUUUAAGGAGUCCCCACAGUGUUUAAUCUGCAAUUAAUUUGAAUAAAAUAUUUAUGUUAGAGAUAACUCAUAAUCAAAAUGACGUUAAUAUGAUGCGUAUUUGAAAUUACAAGCAGUACAACAUAUGCAUAUUUUAUUAAACAUUCAUAACAUCAUCGAGGACAACCAUUAAUCCAUUACUCAAGAUAACUUUAGUCUAUCUCUAUUUGAAGCUGGAACAUUAGAGAGGGAGAGAGUUUUCUCUGAGAUGCAACACAAGGUACAUUAAGGAGACAGUAAAUUGGUUCUCACCUCUGUUUCAUGACAUCCUGGCAUAAACAGAUCCCCAAACAUGGAAAGGCACAGAAGUGUUGCUGAACAAGGUGCAACCAUGUCAGCCCAUCAUGUGUUGGCAAAUAUCCUUCACUGAAGCUGCAGCGCUGAAGCCACUAAAUUUAUCUCAAAUUUGGAAAUUAGUCACUGAACAUCAUUGAUCAUAUCUUUGAUAUGGCCAAGGAAUUAUUUGGCCAUAAUGUUUUCUGAAGUCAAAUCUGAGCUGCCAGGAGAUACCAAUCAGUAACAAUGCUUUGCAUGUUAGCAAAAUAUGUAUUAUUUCUGUCAAUUAGCCAAGCAGAGAAGCUGAGGAUCACUACAUUUUAAUAUAGGCUCACUUAACUUUCAGUAUUAUUAAGACCCUGUGAGUCACUCAAAAUAAUGAUUCCAAGUGGGGGGAAGGAAAGGCAGAUAAUGAAACCUGCAGACAUGGAAGAAGUUUUAAUACUCCUAGGAGGCAUUAUACAGAAUGCCAGACUGGACACCUACUGAAAGUGCUGGAACCAUUGUCUUUCUGUAAAAGUAAGUAAAUGCUCAAAAUAAAUUCAUCAAGCUAAUGCUUAUUUUAUAAAAGCCAGACCGAUUUUUGUUGAGGGGAGGGAAUUCUUAUCUUAUAUUUAAUCUGGUCAUUAUUUUUUUGUAGGUUGGGCUGAAUGGAAAGUAGUUAUUGCUUUUAAUUUUGGAUCCUAAAACACUAUAAAAGUACCACUCACCUAAACUUCCACAUAAUGAAGUGCAGUAACCCUUCUGGAAGAACCAGGCCUAACAGGUGAAUUACAGCUCCUCAGCUUCCAAGACAAUUUAAAUACCGAUGUAGAAGGUAGAAUUCAGGGAAGAAUUGUGGAAGCAAGGACUGAACAGACACAGAAUGUUCUCCAGUGAAACAAUGUCCACAAAGUCUCCUGUUUCCCUUUUCUGGAGGCGUGGAUUUUACAAAAAAAUCCCUCUGCCCCACUAGUCACGGAACCAGACCGGACCAGCCCGUAAACCAUCGACAGAAGAAAAUGCUUGCUUGUGGAAAAGUCUAUAGGACAUCAACAACUAGAUUUGUUCUUUAAGCCAGUCCAGAUUAUUCACAUUAUAAUGUACAGAAUAUAUUGAGUUUUGUUUCUCAAUGUAUGUGAGUGUAGACAUACACAUUUAGUCAAGUUAUAUAGUACAGGUUUAUUAAGAUUCAUCAAUUUACAUUAAGCAUCACAGAUUAGACCUAUAAAAAGAAAAAUUAUGCCCUCAGCUUAUGUGAAAACCAGUGUGACCGUGAAAAAUCAAAAAGAUCUUAAAAACUAUAGCAAGAAGACUUGGAAGUCAGGUAGUCUGAACCAGGAAGUCCAGGAUCCAUCUAAAUAAUUGACUCAUCCAGAUUUCAUUUAUUGCAGACAGAAUUUUCAGAUUUUUCCGUCUUCAAAUGAUGAUUGUGAUAAUAUUCAGUGGAGAGCAUGACUGCACAGUCCACAAAGCAAAUAAGUAAGAAAUACAUAUACAGGAGUGUUUCCAGAGAAAAGUAAUAAUUUUAGCUUGUUAUCAUGAUCAGUAUUCCGUAUCAGUAGUAGUUAAGUUUAAAUUUGUAUUGCUAGGAAUUUCCAGAAAUAUCUAUAUUGUGAAUACUUCUUACAACAAUUUGUAGCCACUGCCUUCCUUCUACAAGAUUAAAAUACUCUGAAAAUCAAAUGUGAUUUUAAGGUUGCCUCUUCAAUAACACACAGCAUCUACUUGGACUAUUCUCAUUCCUGCAAUAGGAGAAGUUGCUAUUGGGCAUUCCCAAACAAAUCCUUCUGCUCACUGUGAGAGUAAAAUCAUUCAGCUCUGGAGAAAGUAAAUUUAAAUAAUGUGAUUCUGCUAAAAUGUGUUCUAAUUAUACAUAAUGUUAUAUGGUAAUUACAGAUGAUGCAAAACAAACCUCAAAUUAUGUUUAUCACUUGAAGAAGUCCUUUUUUUUCACUAAACUCUCUUCAGCAAAUCAUGUAAAUUAAUGAUUUCUUUCCUAAACUGUGGAAAUGCAUUAA